CCCCGCCUCUCGAGGGAGGUCACGCCUCCUGCGGCGACAGACCCUCCCUUUACGUCUCCUCCACCACCACCACCACCACUGAAACUAGACCACCACACGUCAAUGCGGCCAGAACGACCUCAAGAUAGUUUUUAACACUCACCGGCUUCUCAACGAAUUGGUGGGGAGCCCCGCCUCUCUUUUACACCUGGAUCCGAAUCUCAGCCCUAAAGAUGAGGAAACGGGAGCACAGAGAGGUUAAGGAACUUGCUCAAGGUCACACAGCUUGUAAGUGAAAGAGGCACAAUGUGAACUCAAGCAAUGCUGCUCUCAGUCUGGGAGAACAGGUUAAUGCCCUCGAUAGGUGAAUGGCUAAACAAGCGGUGGUCCAUUCCGAUCAUGGAACACUAUUCAGCAAUAGGAAGAAAAACUAUUGAAACACACAACUUGGAUGAAUCUCAAAGUAAUUGUGCUCAGAGAACAGAUUGUGGUUGCCAGAAGCCAGGGUGGGAGGAAAGAGUGGGAGGGAAACUGAUCAAAGUUGCAGACAUCCAGUUAAAAGAUAAGUAAGUCCUGGGACUGUAAUGGACAGCUUGGAAAACACAGUUAACAAUAGUGUAUUGUAGAUUGGGAAGUUGCUAAGAGAGUAGGUCUUAAAAGUUCUUGUCAUAAGAAAAAAAUUGUAACAAUGUGAAGUGUUGGAUGUCAACUUAUUAUAGUCACCAUUUUGCAAUAUAUAUGUAUAUCAAACCAUUGGUUGUAUACCUUAAAAUACAAUGUUAUAUGUCGAUUAUACUUCAGUAAAACUGGUGGUAGGGGAGGCAAGAAAGUCCAGAACUACAAACAUAAGUCAUAAUUUAAAUUAUGUUUCUUUCUAGCAAAGGUCUGUGAGAUUAUAUGUUGCAUAUCUUAUUAUUCCUAGACAGACUCUUGAGUUCUAUUUGAAUGUUCUAGCCCUUUACCUUUUGAUGAAAUCAAUGAUAUUUUUGGUGAAAUAGUUUUAAAGAAUGAAGAUUUAUAAAUUAUACAUUGGAUUAAUAUAUCAGAUAUCAGCAUUCCUUAUGCUGGUGUCAUAUAAUCCUGACUAUUUAAAAUUAUUUUAAUCUCCAGAAACAUUUAAUAUUCUGUGUUGAAUGGAGUGCCAUCUCUGUAAUAGAGAAAUAAGAUAUUAUUUAAAAGGUUUAUUUUAAAUAUCACUUAUUCUUUAAUUUUAGAAAGACUAUUAAUUCACAAAUCAAAUUGUGCUGAACAUUAAAAAGUGUGACAGA